rnacentral:rRNA from 1 species
AACGAACGCUGGGGCCUGCCUAACACAUGCCAGUCGAACGAGACCUUCGGGUCUAGUGGCGCACGGGUGCGUAACGCGUGGGAACCUGCCCUUAGGUUCGGAAUAACUCCCCGGAAGGGGUGCUAAUACCGGAUAAUGUCUUCGGACCAAAGAUUUAUCGCCUUUGGAUGGGCCCGCGUUGGAUUAGCUAGUUGGUAGGGUAAAAGCCUACCAAGGCGACGAUCCAUAGCUGGUCUGAGAGGAUGAUCAGCCACACUGGGACUGAGACACGGCCCAGACUCCUACGGGAGGCAGCAGUGGGGAAUAUUGGACAAUGGGCGAAAGCCUGAUCCAGCAAUGCCGCGUGAGUGAUGAAGGCCUUAGGGUUGUAAAGCUCUUUUACCCGGGAUGAUAAUGACAGUACCGGGAGAAUAAGCUCCGGCUAACUCCGUG